rnacentral:rRNA from 1 species
UAUGCACGCUGGCGGCGUGCCUAAUACAUGCAAGUCGAGCGAACGGACGAGAAGCUUGCUUCUCUGAUGUUAGCGGCGGACGGGUGAGUAGCACGUGGAUAACCUACCUAUAAGACUGGGAUAACUUCGGGAAACCGGAGCUAAUACCGGAUGAUAUUUUGAACCGCAUGGUUCAAAAGUGAAAGACGGUCUUGCUGUCACUUAUAGAUGGAUCCGCGCUGCAUUAGCUAGUUGGUAAGGUAACGGCUUACCAAGGCAACGAUGCAUAGCCGACCUGAGAGGGUGAUCGACCACACUGGAACUGAGACACGGUCCAGACUCCUACGGGAGGCAGCAGUAGGGAAUCUUCCGCAAUGGGCGAAAGCCUGACGGAGCAACGCCGAGUGAGUGAUGAAGGUCUUCGGAUCGUAAAACUCUGUUAUUAGGGAAGAACAUAUGUGUAAGUAACUGUGCACAUCUUGACGGUACCUAAUCAGAAAGCCACGGCUAACUACGUG